GAUGAACGCUGGCGGCGUGCCUAAUACAUGCAAGUCGAGCGAACGGACGAGAAGCUUGCUUCUCUGAUGUUAGCGGCGGACGGGUGAGUAACACGUGGAUAACCUACCUAUAAGCCUGGGAUAACUUCGGGAAACCGGAGCUAAUACCGGAUGAUAUUUUGAACCGCAUGGUUCAAAAGUGAAAGACGGUCUUGCUGUCACUUAUAGAUGGAUCCGCGCUGCAUUAGCUAGUUGGUAAGGUAACGGCUUACCAAGGCAACGAUGCAUAGCCGACCUGAGAGGGUGAUCGGCCACACUGGAACUGAGACACGGUCCAGACUCCUCCGGGAGGCAGCAGUGGGGAAUCUUCCGCAAUGGGCGAAAGCCUGACGGAGCAACGCCGCGUGAGUGAUGAAGGUCUUCGGAUCGUAAAACUCUGUUAUUAGGGAAGAACAUAUGUGUAAGUAACUGUGCACAUCGUGACGGUACCUAAUCAGAAAGCCACGGCUAACUACGUG
rnacentral:rRNA from 1 species